UUUAACUUUAACUUUAAUAUAUAAAUGUAUAUGUAUGUAAAUAUAUAUAUGUAUUUAUAUGUAUAUAUGUUUUUAUACCCUUCAACAACUUAAGUAAGUAUAUGUCCUGUUUGAAUUUGAAGAUAAUUAAAAUCAGUUGUCCUUAGAGUAAUGUCCAAAAAUCCAAUAUUGUCGGCGUAAUAACAACGAUACAGUAGUACAUACACUGAACUAAAUCGCAAAAUGGACAACAUCUCGGAGAACCUUUCUGCUCUGCAAAAUUAUGAUCCGUUUGAGGACCAGGAACGGACAAUUAGCGUAGACAAGCAUCGUAAUCUGCAUUUCGACAUAGCAAAACAUGCAAUAUAACUUGAAUUUUUUGCCUUGUACUUUUUAAUGCUGAGGAAAACCCAUGAAACAAAUCACAUGUUGACUUUUAAUACAGCUUUUCGCCACUGGGGGCAGAAGUGAGUCUUUCACUGUAGGUUUUCUCGCCGCCUCCUGCUGGUGUCCAUGGAGCAUUACACGGUACCGGUGAUUAAAGACGACCUGCAGUGGGAAAAGUCUGAGAAAUAGUCUAUUUUUAUCGCCGGGUCUCUGAGGUGAUGAACGUCCAAUCCUGGCAGCUGAGGCGGCGCCAUCAUUUAAACCCGCCGAUGUGAACGUCUGGGCUGCCAGCUGCUCCCCCCAAACUGAUAAAUACGCUGCCGUGCAGAACGCAAACCUUCAUUAUCACCGAUUGUGUGGUUUCCGGGGUUUCGGUACUUAUCAUUAAGUACACCCGCACCUUUGAAUUAAUACAAGAAACCUCCCUUUUUUUUUUUUUUUGUCUCAGCGCGAAGGUGUGAUGAAUUACAGCGAGCACGUAGCCUAAGCGCCACUGUAAUGUGCUCGUAAAUCUGGCGACAGGAGUACGGCGGCGAUAAAGAGAUGAAGAGUAACAGCUAUAACUUUUUAACUUGCUGGAAUAACUCAGCCCGAAGACACGUUUAAAUUGUGUUUUUCUUCUUCCGCUGCGAAAAAAAUAAAAAUAAUGAGCCACAGCUGGAUUGGAUUGCAGCGAGGGGACGUUGAUCAGCAUUUUUAGGGAGAUAAAGGGGGCAAUAACAUCGCUUUGUGUUGUAAGGGUGAGACUGGGGGAGCCUGCGUGCUUAAUCAUUGUUAUUUCUUUAAAAGAUAGGAAGGACUUGAGCAGAAAACGACGACGACUCUACUUUGGAGGAAGUAUUACGUUCUUGUUGCCAUGGUGAUGAAUUCAAAGUCAAUAAGCACUCACGCAGUUCGGGAAGAGAACCAACAAGAAGGGGCAGGAGUACACUGACGCGCACGACCAAGACCACAGCAUUCCAUUUCUAUUGUAUUAUAAUUAUCACUAAUAAAGAAUUAUUGUUGAAUUUUCUGUUUGAGUGUCAGUCCUGACAAGAUAGAUAGCACAAAAACAGACGUAAAUACCACUGCAUUCCAUUUCUAUUGUAUUAUAAUUAUCACUAAUAAAGAAUUAUUGUUGAAUUUU